CACAACCUAGGUAAAAUCAUCUCCCACCCUCCCUGCUCCACUUUGGUUGCUCUGCUUCCUUACUCAGCUGAGGUCAUUACUCCACUGCGUGGUUGCACUGAGGACAUCCCCUACUCCUCUGCUCUGCAGAAGAUACCAUUACAGCUCAUGGCCUCACCACUCUGUCUCUCUGCUCUGCCUCCAAUGUCACUACACCACCGUGUAAGGCCUGACAUUCAGUGUAUUCUACGUUACACCCAUACGGUUCCUCAUUAUCUCAAUAUCAUUAAAAAAUGGACUGUUCUGUCUCAGAUGAGUGAUGAACUUGAUUUUGAAGCUGUGUUUCCUGAUGUUGGUGUUGCACUUCCACCAAAAAGUGUUAGUGAACCUAGUAAUCAUGUCUACAUUUGAAUAUGAUCAUGAGGCACAUGGCACUCACUUCACUUAUUCUACAGGGUUCAGCAGGGAUUUGGUUCAACCUACUAAAGAGUGGAGAAGCGGACACCAGAACUUUGCAUGCUGCAUGCCCAGUUUUUGUAGGCAGUACGUGGGGUAAGUUUCCAGUAAGCACCUCUGCAGAAAAUGCUUGGCGUAUUUGGUUAUUUUUAUUAAUGUACUCAAUUUUACUGAAAAUUGGAAACAAAAUCAGUGCUCACUGAUAUCCAAGCAACUUCAUAAAUCUUUUGUAAAUAUUUCUUUUAGUCUUUGAUUUAGUUGCCAAUAAGUGGCUCUGCUGUCGGGGACAAGAUUUCAGGAGAAGGUGCACUCUGUACAGGUCCGACUGUGACUGAAAAUUGAAACUCUACCUAAAGCAAGCUGAAAAGAUUUUCAGAACUAAGAUAUUUG
ensembl:lncRNA